CCUACGGGCGGCAGCAGUGAGGAAUAUUGGUCAAUGGUCGGAAGACUGAACCAGCCAAGCCGCGUGCAGGAUGAAGGUACAGAGUAUCGUAAACCUCUUUUGUCAGGGAACAAAGGCGGGGACGUGUCCCCGGCUGAGUGUACCUGAAGAAAAAGCAUCGGCUAACUCCGUGCCAGCAGCCGCGGUAAUACGGAGGAUGCGAGCGUUAUCCGGUUUUAUUGGGUUUAAAGGGUGCGCGGGCGGUCUGUUAAGUCAGCGGUAAAAGCCCGGGGCUCAACCCCGGCCCGCCGUUGAAACUGGCAGUCUUGAGUUGGCGAGAAGUAUGCGGAAUGCGCGGUGUAGCGGUGAAAUGCAUAGAUAUCGCGCAGAACUCCGAUUGCGAAGGCAGCAUGCCGGCGCCACACUGACGCUGAGGCACGAAAGCGUGGGUAUCGAACAGGAUUAGAUACCCGGGUAGUC
rnacentral:rRNA from 1 species